AUUAGGAUUAUACCCUUUCUGAUUUUGUCUGCAGAGUUACUGUGUUCCUGCUGGAUGGGCGUCCACAACUUCGUGCAUUUUAACUGCAUCUUAGAAUGUGCAUGGUUGUAUCGGCAUUAGUUACUGCUAGAGAUGCUUUUGCUAACAGGGCAGAACCAUUAGUGAUGGUCUUUGACACCUGCAACGUGUGAGCUGAAGACAGAACCAUAGUUGACCUCUUUCCUCUAUCAACCUUUCUCAA